rnacentral:rRNA from 1 species
AUUGAACGCUGGCGGCAUGCCUUACACAUGCAAGUCGAACGGUAACAGGUCUUCGGAUGCUGACGAGUGGCGAACGGGUGAGUAAUACAUCGGAACGUGCCUAGUAGUGGGGGAUAACUACUCGAAAGAGUGGCUAAUACCGCAUGAGAUCUACGGAUGAAAGCAGGGGAUCGCAAGACCUUGUGCUACUAGAGCGGCCGAUAGCAGAUUAGGUAGUUGGUGGGAUAAAAGCUUACCAAGCCGACGAUCUGUAGCUGGUCUGAGAGGACGAUCGGCCACACUGGGACUGAGAAACGGCCUAGACUCCUACGGGAGGCAGCAGUGGGGAAUUUUGGACAAUGGGCGCAAGCCUGAUCCAGCAAUGCCGCGUGCAGGAUGAAGGCCUUCGGGUUGUAAACUGCUUUUGUACGGAACGAAAAGCCCCGGGUUAAUACCCUGGGGUCAUGACGGUACCGUAAGAGUAAGCACCGGCUAACUACGUGCCAGCCGCCGCCGUAA